UUGUCCCUUGGAUCCAUCAUACGAGGGUGAAGAGAACAUACCAUGCAGACCCAAAAAACGCUGAGUGGACUGCACAGAGGGACCCCGCUGACCCUCGAGAGACUAAGACCACCCUUAAGAAGAAGGGAAAGAAGAUCCUGGAUGAGCCUCUUCAGGAUGAAGCCACACAGUCAACUCCUGCUGCUUGGCCUCAUCAACAUGAUUUUGAAUUUAACUUCUGUUUCAACUCAGGACAAUGUUUUCAUCUCAUGGGCACAUUCCUACACAGACUUCCACAACACUUCCAACUGCUGGAAGGAGAGGAAGAGGUGAUGAUGAUGAUGCGGAGAGACCACCCAUCUGCACCAGCUGAGUCCAUCUGCAGAGGGCGUUCUGCAGAUGCCUUGCUGCAGCUCAACUCCCAGCUGUACAGGAGCUGAAGAGACCUGCAUGGGAGCAAGUGCUCUGCAAGCUCCUUUCUGCCCAGGAAGAAGUGGGAUUGUUGAACUUGUGAAGAGCGUGGACUCAAGUCCCGCUUCCAACUGGCCCUUAGGCAGCUGUGGACGCUUUGGGAAAUUCCUUCAUUCCUCUGAGCCUCAGUUUCUUCAUCUAUGGAACCUAUACCUCCAGCAAAGCAUGGAACCCUUGUCAGGAAGUUAAAUGGAAUGGCACUUACUGCGGUGUUGGAGGCAUUUUGUCCAUCAGCAGAUGAAUGGAUAAGAAAGCUGUGGUACAUAUACACAAUGGAGUAUUACUCAGCCGUUAAAAAGAAUUCAUUUGAAUCAGUUCUGAUGAGAUGGAUGAAACUGGAGCCGAUUAUUCAGAGUGAAGUAAGCCAGAAAGAAAAACACCAAUACAGUAUACUAACACAUAUAUAUGGAAUUUAGGAAGAUGGCAAUGACGACCCUGUAUGCAAGACAGGGAAAGAGACACAGAUGUGUAUAACGGACUUUUGGACUCAGAGGGAGAGGGAGAGGGUGGGAUGAUAUGGGAGAAUGGGAAUUCUAACAUGUAUACUAUCAUGUAAGAAUUGAAUCGCCAGUCUAUGUCUGACGCAGGAUGCAGCAUGCUUGGGGCUGGUGCAUGGGGAUGACCCAGAAAGAUGUUAUGGGGAGGGAGGUGGGAGGGGGGUUCAUGUUUGGGAAUGCAUGUAAGUGAUUGGCUGUAACUGUGUCUGGAUAUAGUUUCUAAGCAGUCAUUGAGCCCCGAAUUGAUCCACAGGCUGAACUUGGUUCGAGGGGACUGCAAAAGCCAGGUGCCACGAGGUUACUCUGAAGUGGCCUCAUCCCUGGAAGAGAC
rnacentral:lncRNA from 1 species